rnacentral:tRNA from 1 species
GGCUUCGUAGCUCAGCUGGUAGAGCGCUUGCCGCGUUAAGGCAUGCUGUGUUAGUCGCUGGUUCGAAUUCAACCGAAGCCC